rnacentral:rRNA from 1 species
UACGGAGGGGGCAAGCGUUGUCCGGAUUUAUUGGGCGUAAAGCGCGUGUAGGCGGCCAGAUAGGUCUGCUGUGAAAACUCGAGGCUCAACCUCGAGCUGUCGGCGGAAACCAUCUGGCUAGAGUCCGGAAGAGGAGAGUGGAAUUCCUGGUGUAGCGGUGAAAUGCGCAGAUAUCAGGAAGAACACCUAUGGCGAAGGCAGCUCUCUGGGACGGUACUGACGCUGAGACGCGAAAGCGUGGGGAGCGAACAGG